CGGGGUGCAGCAGGCGCGAAAACUUUGCAAUAAGCGAAAGCUUGACAGGGCUAUCCCGAGUGCCAUCCGCUGAGGAAGGCUUUUACCCAGUCUAGAACGCUGGGGGAAUAAGGAGAGGGCAAGUCUGGUGUCAGCCGCCGCGGUAAUACCAGCUCUCCGAGUGGUGUGGAUGUUUAUUGGGCCUAAAGCAUCCGUAGCUGGCUAAGUUAGUCCCUUGUUAAAUCCACCGAAUUAAUCGUUGGAUUGCGGGGGAUACUGCUUGGCUAGGGGACGAGAGAGGCAGACGGUAUUUCCGGGGUAGGGGUGAAAUCCUAUAAUCCCGGGAAGACCACCAGUGGCGAAGGCUGUCUGCUAGAACGCGCCCGACGGUGAGGGAUGAAAGCUGGGGGAGCGAACCGGAUUAGAUACCCGGGUAGUCCCAGCUGUAAACGAUGCAGGCUAGGUGUUUGGACGGCCACGUGCCGCUCUAGUGCCGCAGGGAAGCUGUUAAGCCUGCCGCCUGGGGAGUACGAUCGCAAGAUUGAAACUUAAAGGAAUUGGCGGGGGAGCA
rnacentral:rRNA from 1 species